rnacentral:rRNA from 1 species
CCUACGGGUGGCUGCAGUGGGGAAUAUUGGACAAUGGGCGAAAGCCUGAUCCAGCCAUGCCGCGUGUGUGAAGAAGGCCUUCGGGUUGUAAAGCACUUUCAGUGGGGAAGAAAGCCUUGGGGCUAAUACCCUCGAGGAAGGACAUCACCCACAGAAGAAGCACCGGCUAACUCCGUGCCAGCAGCCGCGGUAAUACGGAGGGUGCGAGCGUUAAUCGGAAUUACUGGGCGUAAAGCGCGCGUAGGCGGUCUGAUAAGCCGGUUGUGAAAGCCCCGGGCUCAACCUGGGAACGGCAUCCGGAACUGUCAGGCUAGAGUGCAGGAGAGGAAGGUAGAAUUCCCGGUGUAGCGGUGAAAUGCGUAGAGAUCGGGAGGAAUACCAGUGGCGAAGGCGGCCUUCUGGACUGACACUGACGCUGAGGUGCGAAAGCGUGGGUAGCAAACAGGAUUAGAUACCCGAGUAUUC